GUUAAUGUAGCUUAAAUGCUAAAGCAAGGCACUGAAAAUGCCUAGAUGAGUGUAUCAACUUCAUAAACA
rfam:TPA: Bos taurus chromosome 2, whole genome shotgun sequence.